rnacentral:rRNA from 1 species
GGACUACCGGGGUAUCUAAUCCUGUUCGCUCCCCACGCUUUCGCUCCUCAGCGUCAGAACAGGCCCAGAGAACCGCCUUCGCCACCGGUGUUCCUCCUGAUAUCUGCGCAUUUCACCGCUACACCAGGAAUUCCGUUCUCCCCUGCCUGCCUCCAGCCAGCCCGUAUCCACUGCACGCCCGGGGUUGAGCCCCGGGAUUUCACAGCGGACGCGACAGGCCGCCUACGAGCUCUUUACGCCCAAUAAUUCCGGACAACGCUCGCGCCCUACGUAUUACCGCGGCUGCUGGCAC